AGGGUUUGAUCAUGGCUCAGAACGUACGCUGGCGGCACGCCUAAUACAUGCAAGUCGAACGAAGUAGCAAUACUUAGUGGCAGACGGGUGAGUAACAUGUGGGUAUCUUCCCUUUGGUGAGGAAUAACACGAGGAAACUUGUGCUAAUACCUCAUAAGUCUUUACGGAGAAAGCUUUAUGCGCCAAUGGAUGAGCCCGCACUUGAUUAGUUUGUUGGUAGGGUAAUGGCCUACCAAGACUGUGAUCAAUAGCUGAUUUGAGAGGAUGAUCAGCCACAUUGGGACUGAGACACGGCCCAAACUCCUACGGGAGGCAGCAGUAGGGAAUCUUGCACAAUGGAGGAAACUCUGAUGCAGCGAUGCCGCGUGAGUGAAGAAGGCCCUUGGGUUGUAAAGCUCUUUCGUCGGGGAAGAAAAUGACUGUACCCGAAUAAGAAGGUCCGGCUAACUUCGUGCCAGCAGCCGCGGUAAUACGAAGGGACCUAGCGUAGUUCGGAAUUACUGGGCUUAAAGAGUUCGUAGGUGGUUAAAAAAGUUGGUGGUGAAAGCCCAGAGCUUAACUCUGGAACUGCCAUCAAAACUUUUUAGCUAGAGUUUGAUAGAGGAAAGCAGAAUUUCUAGUGUAGAGGUGAAAUUCGUAGAUAUUAGAAAGAAUACCGAUUGCGAAGGCAGCUUUCUGGAUCAUUACUGACACUGA
rnacentral:rRNA from 1 species